rnacentral:rRNA from 1 species
AGGGUGCAAGCGUUACUCGGAAUUACUGGGCGUAAAGCGUGCGUAGGUGGUCGUUUAAGUCCGUUGUGAAAGCCCUGGGCUCAACCUGGGAACUGCAGUGGAUACUGGACGACUAGAGUGUGGUAGAGGGUAGCGGAAUUCCUGGUGUAGCAGUGAAAUGCGUAGAGAUCAGGAGGAACAUCCAUGGCGAAGGCAGCUACCUGGACCAACACUGACACUGAGGCACGAAAGCGUGGGGAGCAAACAGGAUUAGAUACCCUGGUAGUCCACGCCCUAAACGAUGCGAACUGGAUGUUGGGUGCAAUUUGGCACGCAGUAUCGAAGCUAACGCGUUAAGUUCGCCGCCUGGGGAGUACGGUCGCAAGACUGAAACUCAAAGGAAUUGACGGGGGCCCGCACAAGCGGUGGAGUAUGUGGUUUAAUUCGAUGCAACGCGAAGAACCUUACCUGGCCUUGACAUGUC